GGUCCUCAUGCUAAUGGUUAGCGAUUUGUCUUCGAAACAAAAUUUUAUUGGUUCGACUCCAAUGGGGACUA
rnacentral:tRNA from 1 species